GCCCUGAAUGGGAUGCAAGACAGCGACUGCCCCACUGACUGCACAGCCCCACCCACCCUGAGCCUUGGGUUCAUGUCAGUCCCUUGGGGGAGACACCUACUCACUCUAAGCCUCAUUUACCUCAACAUCAAAAUGGGAUAAUGUGACCAGACAUUCUCCCCCAGGCCUGGGGGUCCGUACUUACUUGACCAAUCCAGCUGUCUUGCCCUGGGACACAGCCUUUUCAUACUGCUUCUUGGCGACUUCCUUCUCCUUGACAUUACCAGGGUAGGUAACACCGUCGAUGGUCCUGCAGGGAAAGAGUUGGGGCUCAUGCUGGGCCAGACUCCCCUCCAGAGCCCAGAGCCAGCAGCCAUGGGGACACCCACAGCGUGAAGUUGGUGAUGAAAGCGGUCUUGGGCAGCUCCACGUCAAAGGAAACCUCCUUGGCGGCAUCUGCGCGGUUGACGGCCCUCGUGAUGACAACAUUGUGAGCAAAGCGGGAGGUCACCUUGCAGCUGACCUUGGUACUGUAGACCUCAAUGUCGUCAGCCCUCUGUGGGAGACGGGAUGGUGAUCAGUGUGGCCGGGAGGGGCUUCUUGGGAAGCCAAAGGCCACGGAGCUGGAGAGCAGGGCCACGAUGAGGCAGGGCCACCAAACAGAC